UCCUGAAUUAAUAACAGCAAGACAAUGGUCCGCGUGUUUGUAUAUAAUAAAUAUCACACAGGUUUUGUAUAUGUGUAGCCGGUUCUAGAAUUUACAUAUGCAUGCUCGAGAACCUAUGUUCGUACAUACACACACAGACCAUAUAGAAUGAAAAAUAUGCUCUGGUCGUCCAGCAGAGUGGUGGACAAAAGUUAAGUUCACAAAAGACCUUCAUACAUAGGCCAUUGUUUCAACUCGUAGUUUAGGCCUUGCCAGACUCCUCGCAACCCGGUGGCCUGAAGGCGAUGAAGCUGACGCACUGCACCUGGCGCAGGUUGUCGAAGCCGAUGACGCGGACAUAGGCGUCAGGGUACUCCUUCUUGACCUCCUCCACCUCGUUGAGCACCUGUGUGGCGUCGGUGCACCCGAACAUAGGCAGCUUCCACAUUGUCCAGUAUCGACCAUCGUAGUACCCGGGGGAGCUGUUGUGCUCACGGAAAACGAAGCCAACCUUGCUGAACUCGAGGCAGGGCACCCACUUGGAGCGGAUCAAGUAGUCGACCUGCUUCAGGAGGGCCUCCGUGGAGAGGGGUGGCAAGUAAGACAGGGUCUCGAACUUCUUGAUGCCCUCAAUCGGCCACACCUGAAUGAAUAGAAUGCGCAGAUGCUCAAUACUUGGUGCUAAGUAAAUUAAUUGUACCAACAAUUCUAGAAAAAUCUGUUGAUGAGCAAAAAAUUGCUCCUGAUGGACAGGUCUCAUAUGCAUUGUUCGUUUGUCCACAAUGAAGAAAGCUUAAGGGUAGCCCUUAAACUGAUGGGCACUCUGAAGGUACUAAGAUAAUUUUAUCUAGUCCAUGCUGCAAUAAAAAGUAUUUCCAUUCACUAAGUUAUGAGUUGAUUGCUUUUACAUACGGAUCCCAGCUUAGGGACAAGGUUGAAUGAGCAUCCAAAGCCAAAUGGUUUCCAUAGGCAACAAAACAAACAGAUAAUAAGGUUUCGGAAUAAUCUGUUGACCAAAUUAUGUUAUAAAUUGGGGAUGUUCUGCAAGUGAAUUACUUGUACUGCCAAAGAAACUCAUGUCAGUUUAAUUAGUGACUGACAUACCUGCAUGCACCUGAUCCUUCCGCCGUUGCUGACGCUGCCGAGGCCGGCGCUGCUGGAGCGGCGGCUGACGGGCAGGCCCGCGGUGGACUUGAGACCCUGGAAGGGUGCGACGGAGGUGGCCGAGGAAGCCAUCACAGUGGGGGCCAUGGUGUUGGAGGAGGGAAGGUGGCAGGCUAAGCUUGAGGCCCCCAUUGCUGGGUCACCACGGUAUAUAUAGCCAUAUAUGGCCAGCUCCUAUCUUUAAUCAAGAUGUGGAAGGGGUGGCUGGCGUUCGUUGGUUGCCUGGUUUCCUUAUCUCUCCGGAUUAGUGUAAGAGGCAUGGCCGUUGGAUGAGUUGUGUGUGCCGAAAAUUUCAGUCGUCCAUGCCAUUGUGUGAUUGCCACAAACCCUUUUUCCAGCCUUGCAUGUACUGUAUUAUUCUUUUCGUUUUAUUUUGCUAAAGGUAACGCUUGAAAGGUGCAGGAAGAACUUCCUUUGCUGAUUUGCGAUUUAAGUUGAGUGGCACAGGCAUAACGAAUGUUAUAGUACAUCCUUUAUCCACUUCUAUAAUACAAACUUGUCAAUCAAUUAUGCUUGCUUGUAACCUUUGGCGCUUCAUUUUAUAAAAUUUUAUACAGGUAACGUACACAUUUGCUGCAUGUGUGAUGUGUGUCAUCAUGACCUUUAUGUCUUUUAUUCACAAUUAUUCAUUGGAACACAAAAGUGUUGUACUGUUUUCUACGCCUAAUCAUUUACAUGCCCUGGAGGAUUUUUAGUAUUGGAAAUGCUAUUUAAUUGGGUGUCCAAGCAAGGUAGAACUUUGUUCUAAUCCACGAGCAAAAGUUUUAGAUCCCUCUGUUGUCCAUUUACUCAGUUCGUGUCGGCCCCAGUGAACUCAUAAAUUACAUAUGGUGAGUCCAUCAUGAUUUUGUAUCAUCGUUGAAUCUAGCCCACAAAAAAGGCAGAUGUAUAUUCAUUCAUUUCAUGGUGAUGAAGCAACCUGCAAAAUGAUGCGAUCGACCAUGACCACUCAGUGAUAUGGCAAUCAUGUAGACGGACAUUGUGAUCAUCUAGUCAUUUAAGAUAGAUGUCGUGAUCUUCUUGUGUGACCGUCUCAUAGAUUUGAGCUGCAAAUCGAAUCUUAUAUUCUUCCAAAAAAAAUUCUGAAUUUCCUGCAUGUAAGAUGAUAAAGCUGAGUUUGUAAUUAAUUAUUUUUUGUGAAUCCUUAAUGAUAAUUAACACGACCCAGAUAUUACAAAAUAUCCAUAAUUAUCAUGACUGAAUCAAUAAAUUACUAUUGCAGAAUGAACCUUCCAUAGGCCCCUCCACUUGGGCCCGCCGGUGGAGAGAUUCAUCACUCAUGGGCCACAAAACGCCAGCCAUGCAGGAGGACCUUCACUAACGGGCCCUUAAGUUGGCAUCAAUGGAGGGUCACCCAUGGGGCCCAUAGAUCCAACUGAAUGGACGGUCCAUCUCUACUGACGGUCGUACCACACCACUCGUCAAUGUUGGGUGGCCCGUCGGUGCUGAAUUAAGGUAUUUCUAUCUACUGGAGACGAAGUGGCCUUAUAUGCGCUUUCUCUUUUCUCCUAAACAAAACCAUGCCGCCGCCCCCAAUCCCUUCAUCCCCAACAUCAUCACCACCCUAUCCAAUGUUUUCGUCUCCUUUCAUGUGUGCCCCCUCCUUCUCCCACAUUGAUCUGGUCCAACGCUACCGUCUCAUCCCGCGAUUAUCGUCAUCUACUCUUCGGUUACUCGUGACGGCGCGGGUUGUGGCUUCCCGCUUGCUCUCUCGUAAGAAUGGUUGGGUAAACCCCAAGUGUAAGGAUGAAGUAACCUAGUAAUAAGUAUUGUCCUCAAUACGUUUCUCAAACCAGUAGGAAUUUCUUCUACAACCCAAAUCCUCGGUACCUGCACACCAAACACAAAACAAUCUUGCCCCAACGUUUCAAGAAGGUUGUCAAUCUUCUUGUCCUACUAGUUACAAGGAUUAGUUGUUAGUUGAAAGCAAAUAUCGGUUGCUAAGUAGCCUUAGUGCGGUUCGCACCUUUAGACCUGCCAUGGCACUGUCAACACUAUACUCGCCAUGCUUAGGGUUCACACUUUUUAUAUACACCAAGAUCAGCCUAGGUGCUUCGUGUCGUACUAGCACUAAUCCAGCCAUCAAUAUAAAGGAAAUGCUACCCAUAGUUCCAAAGCUUAGUUAUUCAAAUAUGAGUCAGAUAUGGUACUAAUAUUAGUUUAAAAAAGGCACAUGUAGUUGGUCAGCCAAUGUUCCUUCUUGAGUUUCAAAAUACACGUACGCCACUUAAAGAGAGACAUGAGUGAAUAGUAUUUCUUUGUGCCAUCUUCUCCAUCAUGGAUGGGCAACGAACAUUGCGUUGUAUAGAAAGAAGAGUUAUAUCCACCUUUUACAUAGAUUAUGAUUUGCCUAAUUUCGAAGCUUAUUUGUUCAAAUAUGAGUUUGAUAUGGUACUGAUAUUAAUUAAACAAACACACAUUUAAUUGUCAGCUAAUGUUCCUACUUCAGUUUUGAAAUGCAUGUCCGCCCCUUAUAGAGAGACAGAAGAGGUUUGUAUUUCUCCAGGCGCUCUGGUCAUCAUGGUUGAGGGAUGAACUUUGUAUAUCGUAUAGGUUGAAGCUAUCAUCUGCCAACAAUCAUCACUUUUGGAGAUCUCAACAGGGAGCCUUUUUUAAGUAGUAGGGUCAUAUUAUAUUAAUGCACGCACCAAAUUACAACACACAUAGCAUCCCUCGGCAGACUUCUAGAGAUAGUACGCAUGGGUCUAUAAGGACGCACUAUUGGGGUAGAAUCCGCAAUGCAUUUGUGACACCCCGAUUGAGAGAACCGGAGGUCCUCGUGUUCCAGCCCAGAGAUCCAUGUCUUCUGGAACAUGACUAUAACUUGGUACAUGUAGACCAAAAUAAAUAAGUACUUAUGUACAAUAGCGUCUUAAUAGUACAAUCCUCUUGCACAGCAGGUGGACACGUCUAAGUGUCAGAAGCUCAAGGGCUUUAUUCUAUGAGUGACUUAAGGAAGUACUAAAGACGGAAAUAAUACUAAUGACACAACGGAAGACGGGGUACCGGCGGGGCUCCAAUCCAAAGAGACACUGCUGGGACACCAUCUAGUCCAGGUACAUGAACUCUUCGGGAAACUCUUCUAUUGGCUCUCCAGUAUCUGGAAUGAUAAGGCAGGUGAGUACUUUGAAUGUACUCACAAGCCCACAAAUAAUCCAAAGCAAGCAAGAACAGAACAAAUAAACAUAGCAACGAAGUAAAGAUUAGUGAAGCUACUACUAUCAAGACUACUCCAUAAACUUCUCAUUUGCUUGUUUAACGUCCACUGGACCUCUUCCUGGUGAAGGAAAUAUGCCCUAGAGGCAAUAAUAAAGUUAUUAUUUAUUUCCUUAUAUCAUGAUAAAUAUUUAUUAUUCAUGCUAGAAUUGUAUUAACCGGAAACAUAAUACAUGUGUGAAUAUAUAGACAAACAGAGUGUCACUAGUAUGCCUCUACUUGACUAGCUCGUUAAUCAAAGAUGGUUAUGUUUCCUAGCCAUAGACAUAAGUUGUCAUUUGAUUAACGAGAUCACCUCAUUAGGAGAAUGACGUGAUUGACUUGACCCAUUCCGUUAGCUUAGCACCCGAUCGUUUAGUAUGUUGCUAUUGCUUUCUUCAUGACCUAUACAUGUUCCUCUGACUAUGAGAUUAUGCAACUCCCGUUUACCGGAGGAACACUUUGUGUGCUACCAAACGUCACAAUGUAAAUGGGUGAUUAUAAAGGUGCUCUACAGGUGUCUCCAAAGGUACUUGUUGGGUUGGCGUAUUUCGAGUUUAGGAUUUGUCACUCCGAUUGUCGGAGAGGUAUCUCUGGGCCCACUCGGUAAUGCACAUCACUAUAAGCCUUGCAAGCAUUGUGACUAAUAAGUUAGUUGCGGGAUGAUGUGUUACGGAACGAGUAAAGAGACUUGCCGGUAACGAGAUUGAACUAGGUAUCGAGAUACCGACGAUCGAAUCUCGGGCAAGUAACAUACUGAUGACAAAGGGAACAACGUAUGUUGUUAUACGGUCUGACCGAUAAAGAUCUUCGUAGAAUAUGUGGGAGCCAAUAUGGGCAUCCAGGUCCCGCUAUUGGUUAUUGACCGAAGACGUGUCUCGGUCAUGUCUACAUAGUUCUCGAACCCGUAGGGUCCGCACGCUUAAAGUUACGAUGACAGUUUUAUUAUGAGUUUAUGUAUGUUGAUGCACCGAAGGAGUUCGGAGUCCCGGAUGAGAUCGGGGACAUGACGAGGAGUCUCGAAAUGGUCGAGACGUAAAGAUCGAUAUAUUGGACGACUAUAUUCGGACUUCGGAAAGGUUCUGAGUGAUUCGGGUAUUUUUCGGAGUACCGGAGAGUUACGGGAAUACGUAUUGGGCCUUAUUGGGCCAUACGGGAAAGAAGAAAAAGGGCCUCAAGGGUGGCCGCACCCCUCCCCUUGGUCUGGUCCGAAUUGGACUAGGGAAGCGGGGCGCCCCCUUCCUUCCUUCUCUUUUUCCCUUCCUCUUUUCCUAUUCCAUAUGGGAGGUGGAAUCCUACUAGGACUAGGGAGUCCUAGUAGGACUCCACACUUGGUGCGCCCCCUCCUAGGGCCGGCCUCCUCCUCCCUUGCUCCUUUAUAUACGGGGGCAGGGGGGCACCCCAGAGACACAACAAUUGAUCCUUGAGAUCUUUUAGCCGUGUGCGGUGCCCCCCUCCACCAAAUUACACCUCGAUAAUAUCAUUGCGGAGCUUAGGCAAAGCCCUGCGUCGGUAGAACAUCAUCAUCGUCACCACGCCGUCGUGCUGACGAAACUCUCCCUCAACACUCGGCUGGAUCGGAGUUCGAGGGACGUCAUCGAGCUGAACGUGUGCAGAACUCGGAGGUGCCGUGCGUUUGGUACUUGAUCGGUCGGAUCGUGAAGACGUACGACUACAUCAACCACGUUGUGAUAACGCUUCCGCUGUCGGUCUACGAGGGUACGUGGACAACACUCUCCCCUCUCGUUGCUAUGCAUCGCCAUGAUCUUGCGUGGGCGUAGGAAUUUUUUUGAAAUUACUACGUUCCCCAACAGUGGCAUCCGAGCCUGGUUUUAUGCGUUGAUGCUAUGCACGAGUAGAACACAAGUGAGUUGUGGGCGAUAUAAGUCAUACUGCUUACCAGCAUGUCAUACUUUGGUUCAGCGGUAUUGUGAGAUGAAGCGGCCCGGACCGACAUUACGCGUACGCUUACGCGAGACUAGUUUCACCGUUCGGAGCACUCGUUGCUUAAAGGUGACUGGCGGGUGUCUGUCUCUCUCACUUUAGUUGAACCGAGUGUGGCUACGCCCGGUCCUUGCGAAGGUUAAAACAGCACCAACUUGACAAACUAUCGUUGUGGUUUUGAUGCGUAGGUAAGAACGGUUCUUGCUAAGCCCGUAGCAGCCACGUAAAACUUGCAACAACAAAGUAGAGGACGUCUAACUUGUUUUUGCAGGGCAUGUUGUGAUGUGAUAUGGUCAAGACAUGAUGUGAUAUAAUGUGUUGUAUGAGAUGAUCAUGUUUUGUAACCGAGUUAUCGGCAACUGGCAGGAGCCAUAUGGUUGUCGCUUUAUUGUAUGAGAUGCAAUCGCCAUGUAAUAGUUUUACUUUAUCACUAAACGGUAGCGAUAGUCGUAAAAGCAAUAAGUUGGCGAGACGACAACGAUGCUACGAUGGAGAUCAAGGUGUCGCGCCGGUGACGAUGGUGAUCAUGACGGUGCUUCGGAGAUGGAUAUCACAAGCACGGUGCUUCGGAGAUGGAGAUCACAAGCACAAGAUGAUGAUGGCCAUAUCAUAUCACUUAUAUUGAUUGCAUGUGAUGUUAAUCCUUUAUGCAUCUUAUCUUGCUUUGAUUGACGGUAGCAUUAUAAGAUGAUCUCUCACUAAAAUUUCAAGAUAAAAGUGUUCUCCCUGAGUAUGCACCGUUGCAAAAGUUCUUCGUGCUGAGACACCACGUGUUAAUCGGGUGUGAUAGGCUCUACGUUCAAAUACAACGGGUGCAAAACAGUUGCACACGCGGAAUACUCAGGUUAAACUUGACGAGCCUAGCAUAUACAGAUAUGGCCUCGGAACACAGAGACCGAAAGGUCGAGCGUGAAUCAUAUAGUAGAUAUGAUCAACGUAGUGAUGUUCACCAUUGAAACUACUCCAUCUCACGUGUUAAUCGGAUAUGGUUUAGUUGCUUUGGAUCACGUAAUCACUUAGAUGAUUAGAGAGAUGUCUAUCUAAGUGGGAGUUCUUAAGUAAUAUGAUUAAUUGAACUUAAAUUUAUCAUGAACUUAGUCCUGAUAGUAUUUUGCAAAUUAUGUUGUAGAUCAAUAGCUCGCGUUGUUGCUUCCCUGUGUUUAUUUUUUGUUCCUAGAGAAAAAUUAUGUUGAAAGAUGUUAGUAGCAAAGAUGCGGAUUGGAUCCGUGAUCUGAGGAUUAUCCUCAUUGCUGCACAGAAAAAUUAUGUCCUUGAUGCACCGCUAGGUGACAGACCUAUUGCAGGAGCAGAUGCAGACGUUAUGAACGUUUGGCUAGCUCAAUAUGAUGACUACUUGAUAGUUUAGUGCACCAUGCUUAACGACUUAGAAUCGGGACUUCAAAGACGUUUUGAACGUCAUGGACCAUAUGAGAUGUUCCAGGAGUUGAAGUUAAUAUUUCAAGCAAAUACCCGAGUUGAGAGAUAUGAAAUCUCCAACAAGUUCUAUAGCAAAAAGAUGGAGGAGAAUCGCUCAACUAGUGAGCAUGUGCUCAGAUUGUCUGGGUACUACAAUCGCUUGAAUCAAGUGGGAGUUUAUCUUCCAGAUAAAAUAGUGAUUGACAGAAUUCUCUAGUCACCAUCACCAAGUUAGUAGAACUUCGUGAUGAACUAUGGUAUGCAAGGGAUGACGAAAGUAAUUCCCGAGCUCUUCGUGAUGCUGAAAUCGAUGAAGGUAGAAAUCAAGAAAAACAUCAAGUGUUGAUGGUUGACGAGACCACUUCAAGUGUUGAUGGUUGACGAGACCGCUAGUUUCAAGAAAAGGGCAAAGGGAAAAAGGGGAACUUCAAAAAGAACGGCAAGCAAGUUGCUGCUCAAGUGAAGAAGCCUAAGUCUGGUCCUAAGCCUGAGACUAAGUACUUCUACUGCAAAGGGACUGGUCACUGGAAGCGGAACUACCCCAACUAUUUGGUGGAUAAGAAGGAUGGCAAAGUGAACAAAGGUAUAUUUGAUAUACAGAUUAUUGAUGUGUACUUUACUAGUGUUUAUAGCAAUCCCUCGGUAAUUGAUACUGGUUCAAUUGCUAAGAGUAGUAACUCGAAACGGGAGUUGCAGAAUAAACAGAGACUAGUAAAAGUGAACAAAGGUAUAUUUGAUAUACAGAUUAUUGAUGUGUACUUUACUAGUGUUUAUAGCAACCCCUCGGUAAUUGAUACUGGUUCAGUUGCUAAAGAGUAGUAACUCGAAAACGGGAGUUGCAGAAUAAACAGAGACUAGUAAAAGGCGAGGUGACGAUGUGUGUUGGAAGUAGUUCCAAGAUUGAUAUGAUCAUCAUCGCACACUCCCUGUACUUUUGGGAUUAGUGUUGACACUAAAUAAGUGUUAUUUGGUGUUUGCGUUGAGCAUGAAUAUGAUCUGAUCAUGUUUAUUGCAAUACGGUUAUUCAUUUAAGUUAGAGAACAAUUGUUGUUCUGUUUACAUGAAUAAAACCUUUAUGGUCAUACACACCAACGAAAAUGGUUUGUUGGAUCUCGAUCGUAGUGAUACACAUAUUCAUAAUAUUGAAGCCAAAAGAUGCAAAGUUAAUAAUGAUAGUGCAACUUAUUUGUGGUACUGCCGUUUAGGUCAUAUUGGUGUAAAGCGCGUGAAGAAACUCCAUACUGAUGGGAUUUUGGAAUCACUUGAUUAUGAAUCACUUGAUGCUUGCGAACCGUGCCUCAUGGGCAAGAUGACUAAAACGCCGUUCUCCAGAACUAUGGAGAGAGCAACAGAUUUGUUGGAAAUCAUACAUACAGAUGUAUGUGGCCCGAUGAAUAUUGAGGCUCGUAGCAGGUAUCAUUAUUUUCUGACCUUCACAGAUGAUUUGAGCAGAUAUGGGUAUAUCUACUUAAUGAAACAGAAGUCUGAAACAUUUGAAAAGUUCAUAUAAUUUCAGAGUGAAGCGAAAAUCAUCGUAACAAGAAAAUAAAGUUUCUACGAUUUGAUCGUGGAGAAGAGUAUUUUAGUUACGAGUUUGGCCUUCAGUUAAAACAAUGUGAAAUAGUUUCACUACUCACGCCACCUGGAACACCACGGUGUAAUGGUGUGUCCGAAACAUCGUAACCGUACUUUAUUAGAUAUGGUGCGAUAUAUGAUGUCUCUUACCGAUCUACCACUAUCGUUUUAGGGUUAUGCAUUAGAGACAGCUACAUUCACGUUAAAUAGGGUAUCAUCUAAAUCCGUUGAGAUGACGUCUUAUGAACUGUGGUUUGGCAAGAAACCAAAGUUGUCGUGUCUUAAAGUUUGGGGUUGCGAUGCUUAUGUGAAAAAGUUUCAUCCUGAUAAGCUCAAACCCAAAUCGGAGAAAUGUGUCUUCAUAGGAUACCCAAAGGAGACAGUUGGGUACACCUUCUAUCACAGAUCCGAAGACAAGACAUUCGUUGCUUAGUAUGGAUCCUUUCUAGAGAAGGAGUUUCUCUCGAAAGAAGUGAGUGGGAGGAAAGUAGAACUUGAUGAGGUAACUGUACCUGCUCCCUUAUUGGAAAGUAGUUCAUCACAGAAAUCUGUUCCUGUGACUUCUACACCAAUUAGUGAGGAAGUUAAUGAUGAUGAUCAUGUAACUUCAGAUCAAGUUACUACCAAACCUCGUAGGUAAACCAGAGUAAGAUCCGCACCAGAGUGGUACGGUAAUCCUGUUCUGGAGGUUAUGUUACUAGACCAUGACGAACCUACGAACUAUGAAGAAGCGAUGGUGAGCCCAGAUUCCGCAAAAUGGCUUGAGGCCAUGAAAUCUGAGAUGAGAUCCAUGUAUGAGAACAAAGUGUGGACUUUGGUUGACUUGCCCGAUGAUCGGCAAGCAAUUGAGAAUAAAUGGAUCUUCAAGAGGAAGACGGAUGCUGAUAGUAGUGUUACUAUCUACAAAGCUAGAAUUGUCGCAAAAAAGGUUUUCGACAAGUUCAAAGUGUUGACUACGAUGAAAGUUUCUCACUCGUAUCUAUGCUUAAGUCUGUCCGAAUCAUGUUAGCAAUUGCCGCAUUUUAUAAAAUAUGGCAAAUGGAUAAACAAAACUGCAUUCCUUAAAGGAUUUAUUAAAGAAGAGUUGUAUAUGAUGCAACCAGAAUGUUUUGUCAAUCCUAAAGGUGCUAACAAAAUAUGCAAGCUCCAGCGAUCCAUCAAUGGACUGGUGCAAGCAUCUCGGAGUUGGAAUAUACGCUUUGAUAAGUUGAUCAAAGCAUAUAGUUGUAUACAGACUUGCGGUGAAGCCUGUAUUUACAAGAAAGUGAGUGGGAGCACUACAGCAUUUCUGAUAAGUAUAUGUGAAUGACAUAUUGUUGAUCGGAAAUAAUGUAGAAUUAUUCUGCAAAGCAUAAAGGAGUGUUUGAAAGGAGUUUUUCAAAGAUAGACCUCGGUGAAGCUGCUUACAUAUUGAGCAUCAAGAUCUAUAGAGAUAGAUGAAGACGCUUGAUAAGUUUUUCAAUGAGUACAUACCUUAACAAGAUUUUGAAGUAGUUCAAAAUAGAACAGUCAAAGAAAAGAGUUCUUGCCUGUGUUACAAGGUGUGAAAUUGAGUAAAGACUCAAAGCCCGACCACGGCAAAAGAUAGGAAGAGAAUGAAAGUCAUUCCCUAUGCCUUGGCCAUAGGUUCUAUAAAGUAUGUCAUGCUUUGUACCAGAUCUAUUGUAUACCCUACACUGAUUUUGGCAAGGGAGUACAAUAGUGAUCUAGGAGUAGAUCACUGGACAGCGGUCAAAAUUAUCCUUACUGGAAUAAGGAUAUGUUUCUCGAUUAUGGAAGUGACAAAAGGCUCGUCGUAAAAGGUUACGUCGAUGCAAGUUUUGACACUAAUCUAGAUGACUCUAAGUCUCGGUCUAGAUACAUAUUGAAAGUGGGAGCAAUUAGCUAGAGUAGCUCCAUGCAGAGCAUUGUAGACAUAGAAAUUUGCAAAAUACUUACGGAUCUGAAUGUGACAGACCCGUUGACUAAAAUUAUCUCACAAGCAAAACAUGAUCACACCUUAGUACUCUUUGGGUGUUAAUCACAUAGCGAUGUGAACUAGAUUACUGACUCUAGUAAACCCUUUGGGUGAUGGUCACAUGACGAUGUGAACCAUGGGUGUUAAUCACAUGGUGAUGUGAACUAUUCAUGUUAAAUCACAUGGCGAUGUGAACUAGAUUAUUGACUCUAGUGCAAGUGGGAGACUGAAGGAAAUAUGCCCUAGAGGCAAUAAUAAAGUUAUUAUUUAUUUCCUUAUAUCAUGAUAAAUGUUUAUUAUUCAUGCUAGAAUUGUAUUAACCGGAAACAUAAUACAUGUGUGAAUAUAUAGACAAACAGAGUGUCACUAGUAUGCCUCUACUUGACUAGCUCGUUAAUCAAAGAUGGUUAUGUUUCCUAGCCAUAGACAUAAGUUGUCAUUUGAUUAACGAGAUCACCUCAUUAGGAGAAUGACGUGAUUGACUUGACCCAUUCCGUUAGCUUAGCACCCAAUCGUUUAGUAUGUUGCUAUUGCUUUCUUCAUGACCUAUACAUGUUCCUCUGACUAUGAGAUUAUGCAACUCUCGUUUACCGGAGGAACACUUUGUGUGCUACCAAACGUCACAACGUAAAUGGGUGAUUAUAAAGGUGCUCUAUAGGUGUCUCCAAAGGUACUUGUUGGGUUGGCGUAUUUCGAGAUUAGGAUUUGUCACUCCGAUUGUCGGAGAGGUAUCUCUGGGCCCACUCGGUAAUGCACAUCACUAUAAGCCUUGCAAGCAUUGUGACUAAUGAGUUAGUUGCGGGAUGAUGUGUUACGGAACGAGUAAAGAGACUUGCCGGUAACGAGAUUGAACUAGGUAUCGAGAUACCGACGAUCGAAUCUCGGGCAAGUAACAUACUGAUGACAAAGGGAACAACGUAUGUUGUUAUGCGGUCUGACCGAUAAAGAUCUUCGUAGAAUAUGUGGGAGCCAAUAUGGGCAUCCAGGUCCCGCUAUUGGUUAUUGACCGGAGACGUGUCUCGGUCAUGUCUACAUAGUUCUCGAACCCGUAGGGUCCGCACGCUUAAAGUUACGAUGACAGUUUUAUUAUGAGUUUAUGUAUGUUGAUGUACCGAAGGAGUUCGGAGUCCCGGAUGAGAUCGGGGACAUGAUGAGGAGUCUCGAAAUGGUCGGGACGUAAAGAUCGAUAUAUUGGACGACUAUAUUCGGACUUCGGAAAGGUUCUGAGUGAUUCGGGUAUUUUUCGGAGUACCGGAGAGUUACGGGAAUACGUAUUGGGCCUUUUUGGGCCAUACGGGAAAGAAGAAAAAGGGCCUAAGGGUGGCCGCACCCCUCCCCUUGGUCUGGUCCGAAUUGGACUAGGGAAGGGGGGCGCCCCCUUCCUUCCUUCUCUUUUUCCCUUCCUCUUUUCCUAUUCCAUAUGGGAGGUGGAAUCCUACUAGGACUAGGGAGUCCUAGUAGGACUCCACACUUGGUGCGCCCCUCCUAGGGCCGGCCUCCUCCUCCCUUGCUCCUUUAUAUACGGGGGCAGGGGGGCACCCCAGAGACACAACAAUUGAUCCUUGAGAUCUUUUAGCCGUGUGCGGUGCCCCCCUCCACCAAAUUACACCUCGAUAAUAUCAUUGCGGAGCUUAGGCAAAGCCCUGCGUCGGUAGAACAUCAUCAUCGUCACCACGCCGUCGUGCUGACGAAACUCUCCCUCAACACUCGGCUGGAUCGGAGUUCGAGGGACGUCAUCGAGCUGAACGUGUGCAGAACUCGGAGGUGCCAUGCGUUCGGUACUUGAUCGGUCGGAUCGUGAAGACGUACGACUACAUCAACCGCGUUGUGAUAACGCUUCCGCUGUCGGUCUACGAGGGUACGUGGACAACACUCUCCCCUCUCGUUGCUAUGCAUCACCAUGAUCUUGCGUGUGCGUAGGAAUUUUUUUGAAAUUACUACGUUCCCCAACACCUGGCACGAGUCCUGCUCAAACGACUCAUCGACAUAACUUACCAGUUACCACAGCUAUUAGAGUUUAAAGUAAAGGAAUUUUGGUGCUUGGUCAAAUAAUGUGACCUAACACAAACGGUGUCCCAUUGCCAGGGACUCGGCUAUUCGAAUAGUUUGAACACACACUCUGUAGAGGUCACACAGUUUACCCACACCAUAGACUCUUUGUCUAACUAUUCUCAUUCAUAGCAUGGCACUCUAACUAUGCCUCCGACCUCCCGCGGGCUUGCCCUGGCAGAGAGAAUCUGGGUCCUUUCCACCCCGUGUUGCACCACUUGUAUUCCCUUGGGAAUCUUUUCUCUUAAGCUCAUCCACAGACCCUGGCUCUCUUGACUGAAUGGCAACUUCCAAGCCAGAGGAAGUCUACACAUUCCAUCUUCCCUCUUCGGAAACACACGAAAGAAACAUAACUACAAACGUAAUAAAGCCCUCCCAUUCGGACAGAUGUGCUUGUAAUGAGGAUGUUCGGCUUCGUGGCAGUUGGAUUGACCAGCUAUUUAAAGUUGGGUUAACAAGGAAAGUAAAACCGUGACUUUGUAAGCUACUGAAAUCCACAACUUGUUAUCCUACUAGGGUGAAGUAUUCACGAGGAUUCAUCAUCCUAAGUAAAGUCUUUCCCCGAGAUUCUUCGUGAACGUUGCUACCUAUUUUGCUUAUGAUUCAUGUUGGCAAAAUAAUUACCGGUUAUGAGUCAUAGUUAAACUUCUAUUCUACUAGGACCAAAUCAAGGCAUCCUUUAUAGUGACUCACUAUGCUAUUUCAACCACAACAAACUUAACAUAAGCAAAGGGAAGCAACAAACAACAUUGAAAGAAAAGUAAUGUUGGAAAAGAAAUGUAAGUUGAACCCAUGGCCUUGCAAUGCCAUCAAGCAAAUGGAGGUGGUGGCUUGCCAUGCUCAAAUGGAGUAGCAAAGCAUUCUUUGUCUUCACCUCCUGGAUUAUUUCCUUCUGGAAAUAAUUUAAAAAGCAAAAUACAAUAAAGCAAAUAAGUCAAAAGUGUGUCUAGCAGCAUCUAGACAAGUCAAAUAAAUCUCAAAUUAUUCCCACAGAAGGAGAAUAAUAUAAGAAAAGUAAUGCAAAAAGAAUAAACUCAUUUGGAGUUAUGGUUUAAGAGAUAUUACUCAUCACAGCUUAGUCAACAGAAUAUAAGUAAAACAAAAAAUAGCCUGAAAUAGAAAAUCCACCAAGCGGCCACGUCGAAGGCGUAUUUCAGAAAUACGCCCCCACUUACGUACCAGUUCGGCAGGGGUUGUAUCACUGACGGGUGGGGCCAUCCUGUCAGUUUUCUUUUUUAAACACCCGGCCGAGGUGUGGUGUUCUAGCGAGGUCUCACCGGCGACUACAGAGCGCUAGGGCUCGAACGAGUGGGAUCACCUUUUGAGAGGUAUACGCAUUUAUUGUGAUUUGUUAGAAUACUCUAUGUGCUUCACUUAUAUCUUUUGAGCUAGGCAGUUGCUCUGGUGCUUCAUUAUAUCUUUUAGAGCACCGUGGUGGUUAUAUUUUAUAGAAAUGAUUGCACUCUCAUGCUUCACUUAAAUCUUUUUGAGAGUCCAUAUAUAGGAAGUGGUAAUGUGCACGUGUUAUAAGACUAGUCCGAGAAGGAUAGGUAUUCAAGGGGGAUACAAUAAAAACUUUCAUGUAGAUCACUAAAUAUGAAAUGUAUAAUUUAAUGAUAUUGAUGUUGUAAUAUGAAAGGAUAUUAGUUCAUGAUCAUUGGUUAGUAGAAAUAUCAGUAUUAAAACUUGUUAUUAACUUCUCAAAUAAGUGUUGGUCAUGGCAUGGUGGCCAGGUUUGAGCAUUUGUAUUUCUGAUUGAAAUCCUUGAGUGCUAUUAUAAUCGGAUGCGCGCGAUGGUUAACUCCUACCAACAAAUUCCCUAGGGGCAUAUGUGAGUAGUACUUUGCUUAGAAGGAUAAUAGGAGUUCACAAUAAGUAUGUCAGUUCUUUAUGACUAAUGUGAGUCCAUGGAUUAUAUGCACUCCUACCUUUCCGCAAUUUGCUAGGCUCUGCUGUACCGUGCAUUGCCCUUUCUCACCUCGAGAGUUGGUGCACACUUCGCUGGUGCAUCCAAACCCCAUGGUAUGAUACGCUCUAUCAUACAUAAGCCUCCUUAUAUCUUCUUCGAAACAGCCGCCAUACCUACCUAUUAUGGCAUUUUCACAACCAUUCCGAGAUAUAUUGCCAUGCAACUUCCACUGUUCCAUUUUCAUAACAUGUGUGUUCAACGUCAUAUUGCUUUGCAUGAUCAUAUAAAGUUGGCAUGAUAUUUGUGGCAUUGUCACCGUUCAUCAUGAUUAUACAUGUUACGCUAGAUCAUUGCACAUCCUGGUACACUAUCAGAGGCAUUAAUAUAGAGUCAUAUUGUUCAAGUUAUCGAGUUGUAUGUAAAUACAAGUGUGAUGAUAAUCAUUAUUAGAGCAUUGUCCCAGUUGAGGAAACGAUGAUGGAGACUAUGAUUCCCGCACAAGUCGGGAUGAGACUCCGGACGAAAAAAAAGAGAGAAAAGAGAGAAGGGGCAAUGUUACUAUCCUUUUUUUUUGCAAGGUAAUGCUACUAUCCUUUUGAACACUUGUGCUUUAGAGUAGCACCAUGUUCUUCACAUAGAGAGUCUCCUGAGUUAUCACUUUCAUAUACUAGUCGUAUUUUUUCAUUAUAGAAUUUGACUUGCAUAUUCUGAUGAUGGGUUUCCUCAAAUGGCCGAGGCCUUCAUGAUCAAGCAAGUUGGAUGCACAUCCACUUAGUUUUCAUUGAGCUUUCAUACACUUAUAGCUCUUAGUUCAUCUAUUGCAUGGCAAUCCCUACUCCUCGCAUUGACAUCGAUUGAUGGGCAUGUCCAUAGCCCGUUGAUUAGCCGCGUCGAUGCGAGACUUUCUUCCUUUUCAACUUUCCUUAUUAAUCUUUAUCACCGCAUUCUAUUCAACUUAUAGUGUUAUAUCCAUGGCUCACGUUCAUGUAUUGCAUAGGAUUGAAAAUGCUGAAGCGCAUUAGAAGUACGAUCCAUUUGCCUUGUUUGACACCGGGGUGCUCAUGAUUUAUAUUUAUGCAGUGAAGGUGGGGUCAUGCCAUGCUAACAUAAUAAAAUGAGUGGGGAAAGCAUUCAUUGAGGAUUGUAUAUUUUAAAAGGUUAAUGAUUAUGUUUCUUAUAUUCAUGGAUAUUAUUAUGUUGACAUUGUUACUUCAUCGUUUCUCAAUAAUUAUACCGUAAAAAUAUUACAUGAUACACAUGUUAGGUAGCAUUUCACAUCAAAAAUUCUUUUUUUAUCAUUUACCUACUCGAGGACGAGAAGGAAUUAAGCUUGAGGAUGCUAAUACGUCUUCAACGUAUCUAUAAUUUUUGAUUGUUAUAUUAUCAAUCUUGGAUGCUUUAUAUGCUUUGUAUGCUAUUUUAUAUCUUUUUGGGACUAACGUAUUAUUUUGAAUAUUUUUUGAAUUGUUUGGAUUGCUUACCACAUGUGUCAUGUGGUUUGGGACUAACCUAUUAACCCAAUGCCAGUGCCAGUUACUGUUUUUUUGCUUGUUUUUGGCUUUUUAGAAAACCAAUACCAAACGAAGUCCAAACACAAUGAAACUUUACGGUGAUUUUUUCUGGACAAGAAGGGACCCUAAAAGGUUCGGGUGGAGGCUAGAAGAUCUACGGGAGAGCCACAAGCUCACAGGGUGCGCCCCCUGAGCUCAUGGGCCGCACGCAGCUCCAUUUGACCUAAUUUCACCUCCAUAAAUUCACAUAUAUUCCCAAACCAAUAGAGAGCCACCCGAAAUACUUUUUCCGCCGCCCAAGCUUCUAUUUUUCCGUGAGCCCAUAUGGAGGCCUUUUCCGGUACUCUGUCGAAGGGGGAAUCGAUCACAGAGCGCUUCUACAUCAUGCUUGCUGUCUUACAAUGAUGCAUGAGUAGUUCACGACAGACCUACGUGUCCAUAACUAGUAGCUAGAUGGCUUCUUAUCUCUCUUUGAUCUUCAAUACAAUGUUGUCCUCGAUCUUCUUGGAGUUCUUGUAAGUGCAUCUAGUGCCACCCCUAGUUGGUUUUGGAGUAUUGCCGACAAACUUGGUUGAGGGACUAAUGUGUUUGUGAGAAUUGCAGGAUAACACAGGUAGUAGUCCCUCAUUGAUUCGGUUUACCUACCAGAGAUGACCCCUAAAAAUGUGUGAAGACAUUGAAGACAAUGGUGGUCUGUGAAGAUAUUCACAUUGAAGACUAUGACAUGAGAAGACAUCGCAUGAAGACUAUGGAGUGCGAAGACAUAGUUGUUUCGUAGUUUCCUUUUCUUCUUUGUUGAGUCAUAGGAACCGCCGUACUGUUAAGUGGGGUCCAAGUGAACAAAGUCCGAGUGACUGAUGUGAUGCUCAACCAAAUCCUAUGUCUUCGAGCGAAGACAAUGAGUGCAAAUCUUAUCCAGAGUUGGAUGAGUCAGCUUUACUUAUAGCACAAGUCAAGCUGCCGCGUGUGUUUGAAAUCUGACUGUUGGACACGUGUCAGUUCCUUAGUGGCCCAGGGUCAUUUUGGACAAAUUAGGUCGGGUUGCCUCCUGGCUAUAAAUAGCCCACCCCCUACACCAUAAAUUGGUGGCUGCUCAUAGUUAGUGCACGGCUUUUGUCGUUUGAGAGCAACCCACCUCCGAAGCAUUUGAGAGAGAGAUCCUUGCGAGGACAAAGCCCAAAACACCCAGAGCCAAAGAGUGUUAGGCAUCACUGAAGUCUUUCUGUCCGCGUGAUCUGAAGACUUGUUACACUUGAGGACUGUGAAUCCUCCAGCCGGUUAGGCGUCGCGUUCUGAGCAUCCAAGAGUCAUUGUGGAUUGCCGGUGAACGAAAUCUAUGAAGGUUUGGAAGUCUACCUUGAAGACUUACCAGAGUGAUUGGGAGAGGACUAAGUGUCCUUAACUCAAGGGGAAUAAGGUGAAGACGCUUUCUUCUGAGUUAAAUCUCAGCCUCCCUAACCAGACGUACAGUUGUCACGGCAACUGGAACUGGUCCAACAAAUCCCUGUCCUCCCCAAGCAACUGGUUCUAUCUCUUAUCUCUCUUUACUUACAGUUUGUCUUCGUGAAGUCAUUACCUGCUUGCAUGAUCUGAUUGUCUUCACUGUGUGAAGACUGCUGUUGUUUGGCUUCAUACUAUCUUCCAUCCUGAUCCAUACUACCUAACUGCUGAUAGUCUUCGUGCUUUCACUUCAUUGCUUACUUGACUAUGGCUUGUCUAGUGUAGUCUACCUUCCGCUGCAUAUCAAUAGGUUCAUUUUUAUUGUUUGUCUUCAAAGCCCCUGUGUUUUGAAGACUUUCAUAAAAAUUGCCUAUUCACGCCCCCCCCCCUCUAGUCGAUAACUAGCACUUUCAGUUCUAUCCGAUGUAAUCUUCUUUUUGUUGGGGAACGUAGCAGAAAUUCAAAAUUUUCUACGCAUCACCAAGAUCAAUCUAUGGAGUACUCUAGCAAAGAAGGGAAGGAGAGUGGAUCUACAUACCCUUGUAGAUCGCGAUGCGGAAGCGUUGCAAGAACGCGGAUGAGGGAGUCGUACUCGUAGCGAUUCAGAUCGCGGUUGAUUCCGAUCUAAGCACCGAAGAACGGUGCCUCCGCGUUCAACACACGUGCAGCCCGGUGACGUCUCCCACGCCUUGAUCCAGCAAGGAGAGAGGGAGAGGUUGGGGAAGACUCCAUCCAGCAGCAGCACGACGGCGUGGUGGUGAUGGAGGAGCGUGGCAAUCCCGCAGGGCUUCGCCAAGCACCGCGGGAGAGGAGGAGGAGGGAGAGGGGUAGGGCUGCGCCAAAAGGAGACUUUCUCGUGUCGUUAUGGCAGCCCAAACCUCAACUAUAUAUAGGGGGGGAGGGGGCUGCGCCCCCCUCUAGGGUUCCCACCCCCAAGAGGAGGCGGCCAGCCCUAGAUCCCAUCAAGGGGGGGCGGCCAAGGGGAGGAGAGGGGGGGCGCCCCACUAGAUGGGCCCUAAGGCCCAUCUGGACCUAGGGUUUGCCCCCUCCCACUCUCCCAUGCGCCUUGGGCCUUGGUGGGGGGGCGCACCAGCCCACCUGGGGCUGGUCCCCUCCCACACUUGGCCCACGCAGCCUUCUGGGGCUGGUGGCCCCACUUGGUGGACCCCCGGGACCCUCCCGAUGGUCCCGGUACAUUACCGAUAACACCCGAAACUUUUCCGGUGACCAAAACAGGACUUCCCAUAUAUAAAUCUUUACCUCCGGACCAUUCCGGAACUCCUCGUGACGUCCGGGAUCUCAUCCGGGAUUUCGAACAACAUUCGGUAACCACGUACAUACUCUCCAUAUAACCCUAGCGUCAUCGAACCUUAAGCGUGUAGACCCUACGGGUUCGGGAACCAUGCAGACAUGACCGAGACGUUCUCCGGUCAAUAACCAACAGCGGGAUCUGGAUACCCAUGUUGGCUCCCACAUGUUCCACGAUGAUCUCAUCGGAUGAACCACGAUGUCGGGGAUUCAAUCAAUCCCGUAUUCAAUUCCCUUUGUCUAUCGAUAUGUUACUUGCCCGAGAUUCGAUCGUCGGUAUCCCUAUACCUUGUUCAAUCUCGUUACCGGCAAGUCUCUUUACUCGUUCCGUAACUCACAUCAUCCCGUGAUCAACUCCUUGGUCACAUUGUGCACAUUAUGAUGAUGUCCUACCGAGUGGGCCCAGAGAUACCUCUCCGUUUACACGGAGUGACAAAUCCCAGUCUCGAUUCGUGCCAACCCAACAGAUACUUUCGGAGAUACCUGUAGUGCACCUUUAUAGUCACCCAGUUACGUUGUGACGUUUGGUACACCCAAAGCAUUCCUACGGUAUCCGGGAGUUGCACAAUCUCAUGGUCUAAGGAAAUGAUACUUGACAUUAGAAAAGCUCUGAGCAAACGAACUACACGAUCUUGUGCUAGGCUUAGGAUUGGGUCUUGUCCAUCACAUCAUUCUCCUAAUGAUGUGAUCCCGUUAUCAACGACAUCCAAUGUCCAUGGUCAGGAAACCGUAACCAUCUAUUGAUCAACGAGCUAGUCAACUAGAGGCUUACUAGGGACAUGGUGUUGUCUAUGUAUCCACACAUGUAUCUGAGUUUCCUAUCAAUACAAUUCUAGCAUGGAUAAUAAACGAUUAUCAUGAACAAGGAAAUAUAAUAAUAACCUAUUUAUUAUUGCCUCUAGGGCAUAUUUCCAACACUUUUGUGGUGUGUUUGUUGGGAUCCGAUGAAUUGUGGGUUUAUGAUCAGAUUAUUCAUUGAAAGUAGUUGAGUCUUGUCUGAAUUUUAUUAUGCAUGAUUGUUAUAGCUUUGUAUUUCCCUCCGAUCUAUCUGUUUGGUUUGCCAACUAGAUUGAUUUAUCUUCAGUGGCAUACGUGCUUUGUAAUGGGUUCAAUCUUGCGGUGUCCUCACACAAUGAUAGAAGGGGAAGCGAGACACGUAUAAUAUUGUUGCCAUUAAGUAUAAAAUUAUGGGUGUAAUCAUAUUGCUUGAGUUUACUUUGUCUACAUCAUGUCAUCUUGCUUUAGGCGUUACUCUGUUCGUCAUGAACUUAAUACCACAGAUGCAUGCUAGAUAACGGUCGAUUAGUGGAAUAAUAGUAGUAGCUGUAGACAUGAGACGGUCUACUUGUCACGGACAUGAUGACUAUAUACAUGAUCAUUGCCAUGAAUACAUCAUAACUAUGUGUUUUUCUAUCAAUUACCCAACAGUAAUUUGUUUACCCACCAUAUGCUAUGUGUUCGAGAGAGAAGCCUCUAGUGAAAACUAUGGGCCCCGGGUCUACUUUUAUCAUAUUAUUAAAACCAAAAAUACCUUGCUGCAAUUUUACACUUUUUAUUUUACUUUUAUUUUUAUCUAUGUAUCACUAUCAGAAUUAAUCCUUGCAAAUAACGAGUUCAAGGGGAAUGACAACCCUCUUGCCCGCGUUGGGUGCAAGUAUUUGCUUUUCUCUGUGUAGGUGCUGCAGAAGGGAAUUAGUGUGGUUCUUCUAUUGGUUCAAUAACUUUGGUUCUCACUGAGGGAAAUACUUAUCUCUGUUGUACUGCUUCACCCAUCCUCUUCGGGGGAAAUCCCAACACAGUUUACAAGUAGCACUACCCCUCCCUCCUCCUCCAUAGAUGCUUGGUGAAGCCCUGCCUGAGCUCCACCGUAAAAUCCACCACCACGCCAUCGUGUUGGCCUUGAUCCCAUCCACCUAUCCAUGUCGCUUGCUGGAUCAAGAAGGAGACGUCACCGAGCGAUACGUGUGCAUAUCUCAGAGGUGCCGUCCGUGUGGUACUCGAUCGGAUUGGAUCACGAAGAGAGUACGACUACGCCAACCACAUUCAUUAGAAUGUUUUCGUUUUAGGUCUACAAGGGUUUGUAAACUUUUCCCCCUCGUUGCUAGCAUCUAGUUGAUUAGAUCUUGGAUGUUUUCAUUGUCUCGUAGGAAAAAAAUUGUUUUCCAUGGAACGAUUCCCAUCACUGACCUGCUUUAAAGAAGUGGGUAGGAGCUCAGGCGACCCGGGCUCAGCAGGUGGCCAGGCGGGAGGUCCCUAAGAGGUGCAUCCAAGAAUGCAACAACCUCCAAGUAGAGAAGGCGUCCCUAGCCGAGAGGAAGAGACAACAAGAGCUGGAGCUGGAGGAAGUUAAGUCUCGCCUAGCUGAUGCCGAGAGUGACGCGGCAGGCCCUUGAGAUCAUAGCCAGUGAGUCUGUCUGUGCUUCAACUCAUAAUCUAGGUGGAAAUUUUAUUUGCCGAUCUGUCAUAGAAAUUCAUUAUUUCCAGCAUCUUUUCCCGAGCCAGUGCUGUUGGAGUGUCACUUAGGAAGAAACUGCAGCAGCUUGGAGAGUUGAACAAGAUCGCGAGGCCGACAAUGGAGGGUAUUUUCAAGGCCCUAUGGCCUGGAGAAAGGUUGUCGGAAAACCAGUUUGACCUCCCGCCGCCUCCCGGAGGGGCAUGCUCGGAUUGCCCUGUGAAAGGCCUUAGUGGCCUGAGAAGAUGCUCGUCAAGCUUGGGCCAUGCUCCAGACCCACUAUCCGGGCUUGAACAUCUGUCCUAUUGCCCUAGUUGGUCCAAAAGGACCUGUCGGUAAGGAGAUUAUGCCUAAUGGCAAUUUCCAACGGAUCAUGCCCUAUACUAGGAUGUCCGAGCAGGAUUGUCGUUUGGAAAAUAUUAUUGAAUAGGCUAGGAGCGAUUACCCUGGAAUGUCAAGGAUGAAAAGUUGUAUAAAAACUUCACGAAUUUCGCUCUAGCCAUGUUUAUUUUUUUCUAUACCGACAACAUGAUAGGUUUGGUCCGACCUGUUUAGCAUACGCUUGCAUUAACCAGCCUUUGGCUUCAACCUCCACAACCAAACGGGGAGGCCUUAUAAUUGAUGUUAACGCAAGGAGUAGGGAUCGCCAUGCAACUAGGAUGCAAACAUAUCUAUGAAUAUAUGAAAUCUCUCGCAAGGAUUAAGUAGGGGUGUGUCCAACUUGUUUGCUCAUGAAGACCUCGAGCAUUUGAUAAAGCUCAUCAUCGGGAUGUACAAGGAAAGUUCUACAACAUAAAUUCCCCAAGCUAGUAUAAAACAUGAAGCUCAUGAAACUUUAAUUAGAUGCUAAUUAUCCAGACCAACAAAAGUUCUUUAGUAAGAGUCUCUAAGAAAUAUAUUUCAUCGAAACUGUCCUACUCAGCUCGAGUGAACAGUUAAAUCCAAAAAAAAUUGAAACAAAAUUUCAAAAAAAUCUAAAUUUUUUUGGUGAUAAAUGUUUUCAAUGCUUGCAAAGUUUCAUCAUGUAAUUAUAUUUGUGGAAGUCAUGCAAAAAUAAUAUCGAUGCUUCAAAAAAGUUAUUUUCGGAGUGCUGAAUUUGUUUAUUGCCGUGACGAAGAUGAAUGCCAGUCUAUGAUGAAACUUUGCAAGGAUAUAUAACAUGUGUCAAAUUAAGCCACACACAAAAAAUCAGAAAUUUUUGAAUUCUUUCUAAAUAUUUUCAGAUUUUAUUGCUCACCCGAGCUCAUAUGAGCUCGAGCUCAGUUAAUCCGUGUCCAUGUUUCAUCCUAUUCUACUAGCAAAAACCAAUGGAGCAGAUGGUAGUGACGUGGAAAAGAAACCAUAAUAAUUUUGUAGUGAUAUAUAAUUAAAGAAACAGAAAUUUGCAAUUGCAAAUUAGGGAAUCUUAAUGUCAAAUACUGAAUUCUUCCACCCACUAGCUGUGAGACAUAUCCAUUGCAGUGCCAAAUAAAGAAACUUUUCCAUGAAUUAAUAACAGCAAGACAAUGGUCCGCGUGUUGUAUAUAAUAAAUAUUACACAGGUUUUGCAUAUGUGUAGCCGGUGCAUAUAGACCUAUGAGGAAUUACGUAUGCAUGCUCAAGAACCUAUGUUCGUACAUACAUACACAAAUCAUAUAGAACAAAAGGUAUGCUCCGGUCCGAAAGCAGAGUCGUGCAGCAGAGUUGUGGACAAAAGUGAAGUUCACAAAAGACCUUCAUACGAGAUAGGCCAUUGUUUCAACUCGUAGUUUAGGCCUUGCCGGACUCCUCGCAACCCGGUGGCCUGAAGGCGAUGAAGCUGACGCACUGCACCUGGCGCAGGUUGUCGAAGCCGAUGACACGGACAUAGGCGUCAGGGUACUCCUUCUUGACCUCCUCCACCUCGUUGAGCACCUGUGUGGCGUCGGUGCACCCAAACAUGGGCAGCUUCCACAUUGUCCAGUAUCGACCGUCGUAGUACCCGGGGGAGCUGUUGUGCUCACGGAAGACGAAGCCAACCUUGCUGAACUCGAGGCAGGGCACCCACUUGGAGCGGAUCAG
rnacentral:lncRNA from 1 species